GAGAGUUUCAGCAUUAGAGUUUCCUGUAGUUUAUCACUGGCAUCUGAUCAAUGACAUGAAUAAGGCCUGCACUCACGUCCUGAAGCAAGUGCUUUACCGACUUAGCUACUGCCUGGCUACUAAUGUCACCUGUCAGAAGACAAUGGGGAUGCUGAGGCUGGCUGGGCUCAACCAAAUAUAAUUGCAAUGGCGACACACCCCAGAACUCAGCAAGCAGUCUGGAUGCGUUCAAUCCUGGGCAAUACCUCGUUCUCUUCCACUACCCUCCAGACCAGGCGCUGGUGAAGGGGACCUCUCACCUGUCUGCAGAGCUUGCAUCUCCUUCAAGGCGUUGACUUCCCGCCACAGCUUUUCAACUUGAGAUUUCAGGUCGU